GUUUCUCCGAGGAGACUAUUCUGGCAGCUCAGUGUUGGCAGAUGAAGAUUUCCUGGGAACCUUCUCGAGAGGCUGUUAGCAGCAGUCCGAAAUCUAAUAAGGUGUCAAGUGCUUCAAGUCAAAAACCCAGGAACGCUCAAGUUUAUUUACGCUCAGGCCCAGCAACCAAGCGCAAACUCGAUAUGUCUGAUGGCUGCAACAGCCAGUAUGAGGUGGUGCCGGCAAAAAGGGCUCGCAAAACAUCAAAAGAAUUCUUAGACUUGAAUCUGCCCAUCGAAGAGGU
rnacentral:lncRNA from 1 species